AUUGAACGCUGGCGGCAGGCUUAACACAUGCAAGUCGAGCGAGCGGCGGACGGGUGAGUAAUGUCUGGGAAACUGCCUGAUGGAGGGGGAUAACUACUGGAAACGGUAGCUAAUACCGCAUACCAUCAGAUGUGCCCAGAUGGGAUUAGCUAGUAGGUGGGGUAAUGGCUCACCUAGGCGACGAUCCCUAGCUGGUCUGAGAGGAUGACCAGCCACACUGGAACUGAGGCACGGUCCAGACUCCUACGGGAGGGAGCAGUGGGGAAUAUUGCACAAUGGGGGCAAGCCUGAUGCAGCCGUGCCGCGUGUGUGAAGAAGGCCUUCGGGUUGUAAAGCACUUUCAGCGGGGAGGCGUUACCCGCAGAAGAAGCACCGGCUAACUCCGUGCCAGCGGCCGCGGUAAUAC
rnacentral:rRNA from 1 species